rnacentral:lncRNA from 1 species
GGCGGGCCUGCUGCCGCAGCAGGGCUUGGAAGCUACUGGCCAUAGAGCCCAAUCAUUGUUUCCAAGAUUAAAACCCUCUCCGCUAAAAUCUUCAAAGCCUCGCGGAGCUGAUGUAAACCCUCCCCCCAUGUGCCCUUGUCGCCCGGCUCGCCCUUGGGGCCCGGCUCGCCCUGUGCCCCAUCCUGCCCACGGCUGCCUGGCUCUCCCUUGGGGCCCCUGUCACCUUUGUCUCCCCGGGGACCGGCAGCUCCAGGUGCCCCAGUUCUCCCAUCAGGCCCCGGGGGGCCGGGCAGCCCCAUGGGUCCUGGGGGGCCGGGGGGUCCCAUCGGCCCCAUGGGCCCAGGGGGGCCAGCGGGCCCCACGAUGCCCCCGGCUGCUUCGGUGAAGGUG